AAAAAAAAAAAAUGGCCCCCAAUUUCGAACUAUUUACCUAUCUAGCCUCUUUACAAAAAAAUAUUCCCUAUCUAGCCUUCUUUUGAAAAAUAUUCCCCAUAUAGCAUCAUUUUCAAAGAUUAGAGAAAAAAAGAGAAAUUAAUACUUUUAAUAUAUAUUAAGGGGUAAAGUGGGGGAGAUUAUCUUUUUCUCUCUCCUCUCCUAUUUCCCGAGAUCCCUUCUCACUCUCUAAUUUUUGCGUAUAAUUUAUCUCAUAUCGAUUUAUUUCAAAAUAGAAAAUUUUUAUAUAGCGCAUCAAUUUUUUAAUAUUUUGAUGAAAAUAUUAUACAUGGUUCGGAAGGAAUUGAUUAUAAUAAUCCUGAUCCAAAACUAUUUGGAUUUCUCGUACUUUAGGUUUUAAUACAUUAAAAUAUAAAAUUUAUAGGCUGAAUGGGAUCAAGAUUAUUUUGAUAUAAAAAUUAAUGGGAGAGGAGAGAGAAAAAGAUAAUCUCCCCCAUUUAACCCCUUAAUAUAUAUUAAAGGAAUUAAUUUCUCUUUUUUUCUCUAAUCUUUGAAGAUGAGGCUAGAUAGGGAGUUUUUUUAAAAGGAGGCUAGAUAGGAAAUAUUUUUUUUGUAAAGAAGCUAGAUAGGUAAAUAGUUC
rnacentral:lncRNA from 1 species